UAGGGAAUCUUCGGCAAUGGACGAAAGUCUGACCGAGCAACGCCGCGUGAGUGAAGAAGGUUUUCGGAUCGUAAAACUCUGUUGUUAGAGAAGAACAAGGACGUUAGUAACUGAACGUCCCCUGACGGUAUCUAACCAGAAAGCCACGGCUAACUACGUGCCAGCAGCCGCGGUAAUACGUAGGUGGCAAGCGUUGUCCGGAUUUAUUGGGCGUAAAGCGAGCGCAGGCGGUUUCUUAAGUCUGAUGUGAAAGCCCCCGGCUCAACCGGGGAGUGUCAUUGGAAACUGGGAGACUUGAGUGCAGAAGAGGAGAGUGGAAUUCAAUGUGUAGCGGUGAAAUGCGUAAAUAUAUGGUGGAAAACCGGUGGCGAAGGCGGCCCCCUGGACAAAGACUGACGCUCAGGUGCGAAAGCGUGGGGAGCAAACAGG
rnacentral:rRNA from 1 species